rnacentral:tRNA from 1 species
GGGUUGUUAGCUCAGUUGGUAGAGCAGCUGACUCUUAAUCAGCGGGUCGGGGGUUCGAAACCUUCACAACCCA